rnacentral:rRNA from 1 species
CUAUGCGCCUUGCCAGCCCGCUCAGGUGUGCCAGCAGCCGCGGUAAUACGGAGGAUGCGAGCGUUAUCCGGAUUAUUGGGUUUAAAGGGUGCGUAGGCGGGCUGUUAAGUCAGCGGUCAAAUGUCGGGGCUCAACCCCGGCCUGCCGUUGAAACUGGCGGCCUCGAGUGGGCGAGAAGUAUGCGGAAUGCGUGGUGUAGCGGUGAAAUGCAUAGAUAUCACGCAGAACUCCGAUUGCGAAGGCAGCAUACCGGCGCCCUACUGACGCUGAGGCACGAAAGCGUGGGUAUCGAACAGG